GUUGAACGCUGGCGGCAUGCCUUACACAUGCAAGUCGAACGGCAGCACGGGAGCAAUCCUGGUGGCGAGUGGCGAACGGGUGAGUAAUACAUCGGAACGUGCCCAAUCGUGGGGGAUAACGCAGCGAAAGCUGUGCUAAUACCGCAUAAGAUCUACGGAUGAAAGCGGGGGACCGUAAGGCCUCGCGCGAUUGGAGCGGC
rnacentral:rRNA from 1 species